GGUCAUAUUCCGAUCACAGAAGUUAAACAACGUCGGUCAUGGUCAGUAUGUAGAUGGGUGACCUCUUGGGAAUACCAGGUGCUGUAAG